CAACCCUUAAGCCUAGCUUAGUGUUGGGAGCUUACUUCUGUAACUCCUCAAAAUCAGUGGCAGAGUUUAGUCACCUCUGAGCGUAGUAAUUUUAUCUCGCUUUAGGUGGUGGUUUAAUUCUCGCCAUAAGCCUAUUUUUUCAAU
rnacentral:misc_RNA from 1 species